GGAAAGGUUGCUCAGUGGUAGAGUGCUUGCUUUGCAUGCAUGAGGCCUUGGGUUCCAUUCCU
rnacentral:tRNA from 1 species